rnacentral:SRP_RNA from 1 species
GCUGGGCACGGUGGCGCGUGCCUGUAAUCCCAGCUACUCAGGAGGCUGAGACAGGAGAAUUGCCUGAACCCAGGAGGCGGAGGUUGCAGUGAGCCGAGAUCACGCCAUUGCACUCCAGCCUGGGUAACAGAGCAAAACUCUGUCUCAA